AAGGGAAGAAGGGGGGUGGGGGGGAGUCGGUGAGGAAGGGAAAGAAGAAGAGGGAGGAGGGGGUGAUGGAGGAGGUGGAGGCCGGAGGGGGCAGAAGCAGCAGAGGAGGGGAAGGACGGGCCCUCACCUGGACCGGGGAUGCUCAGCGUCCCUCUGUACACGCAUCGGAACCGACGGCAGAGCGCACGGACGCUCCCGCGGGCCAGAGCAGAGUGAAGGGCCACUUCCGGCCAGGCGGCGCUCUCACUUCCGGUGCUCCCAGAGGCUGCGCCCUGGGACACCGCUUCUAGAGAGGAGUGGUUCACACAGGCGCACGGGGUGGGGACAGACCUAGCAUCUGGGCCAGACCCCGUCACCGCACGGGCCUGAGAAACCAGCGAGGCUCGUUACAAGGCCAGGCGCCUGUGAGUCACACUUUGCUGCUCCUGUUUGAGUUCUCAGAUAUCUAAGAGUAGUCGUUAGGUAAAUACACAUCGACAUGCUCCUUCUCUAGCCACUUCCGCACCAUGUGCCCAUGGCAACCAGGAAGGCAGCGGAGAGGCCCUGGGGCGAUGAGGGGAGCUGCCGUAGAGACACAAUCCGCGCUGUCAUCACUAAGAAACAAUUUUCACAAAACUGCAAAAGGUCAGGAGAAACAUGGGGGCCAGCACCCCGGUUCCAGCAAGUGUGGAAAUCGCCGCAGGAAAAGCCUGCCACGUUCUGGGGUAGACCGAAGGCACCUGCAGAGCAGAGCGGCACUGCUGGGACACCCAGCCACCUCCCUCCUCCCCAGGCACUGUGUACUCCAGCUCCACAGCCCCUGAGCUACACCCAGGGCUUUCUUGGGCAAGAAGGUCAAAUGCUAAGCCUGCCAGGCACAUCACCACGGCCCUGCGGAGAGACAGCUCCACUUCCUGCCAGCCCAUCCUCCAGUGGUGCUUCUAUUCCACUGCAGUGUGUAGUCAUGGAGAUUUCGUCGGCACAAGAGACGCUCUUCCCAUUAUACACAUUUUUAAAGUUCACAAAUAUCCCAAGAAAUGAAUGA
rnacentral:lncRNA from 1 species